rnacentral:rRNA from 1 species
AUACAGAGGUGGCAAGCGUUGUUCGGAAUUACUGGGCGUAAAGGGCGCGUAGGUGGCCUUCUUAGUCAGACGUGAAAUCCCCAGGCUUAACCUGGGAACUGCGCCUGAUACUGGAAGGCUCGAGUUCGGGAGAGGAAUGUGGAAUUCCAGGUGUAGCGGUGAAAUGCGUAGAUAUCUGGAGGAACACCGGUGGCGAAGGCGGCAUUCUGGACCGAAACUGACGCUGAGGCGCGAAAGCCAGGGGAGCAAACGGGAUUAGAUACCCCGGUAGUCCUGGCCCUAAACGAUGAGUGCUUGGUGUGGCGGGUAUCGAUCCCUGCCGUGCCGAAGCUAACGCAUUAAGCACUCCGCCUGGGGAGUACGGCCGCAAGGUUGAA